AUUUGGUUUGUUUAAUAUGUUUUAGCUGCCAAAGCCCAAACGACAAGCAGCAAAUAGUUGUGCUUCUGCACACUUCCAUUGCAUGAUGGACAUGUAAGAGUUUCAGAUUAAGUAGACUGGGAUUCCUACUGGGUAUGGAUGUAGCAUAUGAUUUCACAGAAAUAACAAGCAGUAAGUUUGAUUUCAAAAGGCAUCUUUUGAAUGUAUGCACAUGGUAGCCUUUCAUACUUGGAUGACUGAUGCUAGAGGAAUCUUUAUCCUCCUUUUUGAACAUCUUCUGUUGUAGGCCUCAGGAUACCAUAGUUUUAGGAUGAGCUAGGCACCUUACUUGUAGCAAAUUUCUUAUUCAGGGAAUUCAGCUUUACUCUAAGUGAAAAAUCACAAGCCCAAAAUGUGGCAAACAAGCCCAAAAAAUGACAACAAAUGUGGUCACUGUUCCAAUAAGAUAGAAAUUGAAGACAUUCAUAAAAUGUGUGGUUUGAUCUCAGAUGAUGAAAUGUAUAUAUAUAUGUGCAGAGUAUAACUGGCUUGCCUAGAUAAAAAAUCAAAGUAAUAUUAAAGAUAAUGUAGUUUAAGCUUCUUUUCUGUUUGAAGAAGAAAAUAUAUAAUUAUAAGGGAUACUGACAAAGAUUCUUUUUAAGUACACUUCAGAAAAAAAUCCGAAAGCUACUUACAACAAAAUUCAAGGAUAGCCAUGGGAGAACUACUUAAGGAAAUUCACAAUUGUACUCUUAAUAAUCUAAUAAGACAUACAUUGAAUUUGAAGAGUGUUUCUUCCUAUUGUAAUUGCUUUCCAGCUGCAGAACAAUUCAUGUAUUUCAGCCUACAGCAGAGCUGGGGACUUUUCAAAGUGUCAGCCACACACUCUUCAUUUUCUAUCAUCUGGAUAAGAAUAUUGAGGAGUUUUCAUUAGAUUUGGGGAAAAAAAAAAUCAGAGGCAAGAGUGGACAAUGAUCUUUUGGAGUAACCUUUUUCCUUAGGCUUGUGAAAGUGGGGCCAUCUUCACUUAGUAGAAAUGUCUGACCACAGAUGCUAGUUAAGGGAACAGAAAUCCCAAAUGUGUACACAUACAACUCAUUAGAAACUCAAAAGUGAUGAAUUCUUUAUCCUUAUUUGUAAGUGUUCAUUGAAUGUGGGGACAAAUGAAUGGUUACAGACAACAUCUCACCCAUUGUCCAUUGUUAACUGCUAGUAAUUGACCUAAGUGUACAGAUAACAUUGAUGAGUGAAAUAAAAAAAAGUUUAAGUGAAAUUAUGUUACACUGGUAUCUCAACACAACUUUGUUCAGUGCUACAGUUCCUUUUGAAGAUUUAUUUACAAACAGGUCCUUGUUUUCACAGAUUCUAUCAUUAUAACAAAUGUCCCUUGCAUGUAGUUUGUUAGCAAAAAAAAAAAAACCCAAAAAUAAAAAACAAACAAACAAAAAGCGUAUCUGAGGCAUGCAUGGACUUUUCGUUAAAAAGUUUUUCCUGGAAACUAUUAUUGAAUUUCUUCAUAAGAAUAUUUAGACAUUGGUUUAGUACUGACUUCAAAUAUUAGCAAUUUUUUCUGUAAGUCAAAAAAAAAAUACAAUGAAUGUGAUGUUAAAAAAAAUUAAAUAGCUUAUGCUAUUUUCUACUAGAGUAGUUCAACUAUAUCUUUUCUCUCAAUCAUUUUCUCUUUUUAAGAGAGAAAUUUCUUCCUCUAAGAAAAGUAUUGAUUUUAAUUUUACAAGGAAAAUAACUUUAUGCAUAUUAUAUUUUAAGAAGGGUCUACAUAAGGCACUUUAUUGAUGAUAUUGAAAGGAAAAUUGCCUCAGAUUUUGACAGUGAAGUGGUUAAUCCCCAUCUAUAAUACUUCUUCACCAUAAAUUAUAACAUGGAGAUAUAUAUAUUUUUUUUUUCUUUAGAGCAUGAGAAUAAUUGUUUUACUCAGUAGGAAAACAAAUGACAAAAAAAAAAAAAAAAAAAAGAAAAAAGAAAAAAAAAAAAAGAAAUGAGUGCCAAACCCAGGCAUUACUGGCUUUAAGUCUCUUUAAAUAAUGCCUGGUGCUCUCUUCCACAGAUAUAAUCCUAGGAAGCUGAUGAUUACCCCUCCCCUGAAGUCUACUGAACUGGGCACUCUCUAUCUCAAAUGAUAAUACAGUCAGUAUCAAACUAUUUGGCAUUAAACUUAAGUAAAGCAUAGGAUGCCUUGCUCUUUUAAAGAACACUGGCUAGUAUUUCUUCUGCAAAACUAGUCCAAAAGUGAUCUGACAAGCUUUUAUUAUACAGGGACUAUGUAGGACUUGUGCCCAAUGACAACUGACUGCUGAUCCUCUCAGAAACAAGCCACUAAAUAAAUUGCUAUGAUCACUUGGUCCCAGAUAUCUGAAGAUUCAAAAAACUGAUUUUAACUGCGACAUGCAUACAUGAUUCUGUUCUGUGUAUGGUAUAUUUUCUGUCUUUAACAUAGAAAAUUAGAUGAUUUGAAGUCUGCAUUAUCUGUUUUCUGCAAUAUGCCAUGUUGCACGCAUUGUUAACUUCAAAACCUCGCUAUACACUAUAUAUUAUCUUGUUGACAUAUUCAGUAAAAAGUUACUUAAAAAACAAUAACAUCAAUCCUGCUGUAUUUAUAUGAACAAGUUGAUUAAGAAUGUGAGCAUGUGAGAGGGGAAAUAGAAAAACAAAAAUUCUGUUCUUUCAUUCCUGGAACAUUUUUUUCAAAUGUUUUAUUGUAUGCCCAUGCUUUUCAGAUGCUAAAGAAUGAAUAUUUUUAUCUUCUGUCUGUUAAAAAUAAUUUGUUACUUCCAUUUCUCGGAUUUAAUGGUAAUAGGGUUACCUCAUUUUGAUAUGCAUAUAAGAAAUUGGUGUAAAGAUCAGAUUGUAAUCCAGUAUUUCCAAUUGAUGGGGACAGUUAAGCAACUAUACACAUCUACAACAAAUAAUUACAUGUGGAAGCUAGGACCCAUUAUAUGCAUAGUCAUUCGGUAAAUACACUUGACAUUCAUCAUUGACAGUCUUAAAUCUAUAUUUUGCCUAUUUAUUCUUUCCUUGAAAUGAGAUGUGAUUUUCUUUACAAUUCUCCCUUCAAAAUUUUUCUUGAAUUUUCAGAAUUUUUCAGACAUAAGCCUUAAUAAAUUGUUGUAUACCUUCUACCUAAUAUUUGGCAUUAUAUGCAGCAUGUAUAAAGUUAUGCUUUAGGUACAUGGGAAAGAAUAGUUACAUAUACAGUAACUAAAUUUUGACUUAGACAGAACCUGAAAUACUGAAUGUUACACGCUGUGUUGCUUUAGAGUUUAGGAGUUCAACAUUGACGAAUGUCAUAAUUCUUAUGUGAAUUAUCUCAUUCUCUGUCUUAACCCUGAAAGACAUGGAAGACUACCAGUAGAUGCUGUACGAUACAUCUACAUGUACACCACUUCCUCCAUCAUUCACUACACUUCCUGAACUUGGUAUUUCCCCUGAGCUAGACUGGUACCUAAGUUAUCUUUUCUUACCAUGGGAAGGUGGAGAAUAGAAGUAACAGAAAUAUAUAAGCACUGGUGGCCAUUUAGGUAUUCUAAAAGAAAAAAAAAAGCAAUGAUUUAAUGAUUUUAUAUUCCCUUCUUCAAAAAGAAAAAAAAAGAAGAAAAGUAAGGAGAAAGACCACUGAUUGCCUCAUCAGUUAAUAUUUUAGUCGUCCACACUACUGAUUUCUCUUAAUAGGGAACUAUAAUUAUAUCUAUUUAUUUGUUAGUUCAGUUAUCUGUGCUUUAAUUCCAAGGGUUUUCCCAAGGAUUUAGCCUCAAGAAGCUCUCAAAGUAAGUACAAGGAAGAGUAUUUUUCAAUAAUUUUCACUCAAUAUUAUUCAAUAUUACACUUUAAAGUGAAUAUUUCUAUAUAGACAAGGAAUGGCGCCAUAAGGAAAGGGUGUGUUUAGUCAUAAAAGUAUGAAAUAAAUAUUUUUGUUCUACUUGAAACUCCACUGUCAGUGAAGACUCAAAUGAAAUGUGGUGACAAUUUAAAAAUAAUUUGCAAUCUUAAAACAAGCUAGAACACUUAUAGUGGAAUCCUGCUCCAAUGAUUUCAAUUAUAAUCCAAAUAUUUAUAGGAACAAAACAUAUAUCAGAAAGAUUAUUAAAAACAUCCAGUAUGAUACACUAUAUAAUGUUACACUGAGUGGUGUCCAAGAAAUAACCAAGUAAAACAGUAGGCCUAAGCUUUAUAAACUUGGUAUCUGUUACAAAAAGGUAGUGGUGAAAUGAAAUGCAAAUACUUCACAGAAACUGAGGUAAAAUAAUAAUAUAAAACAGAGCAACAGUGUUCAUUACAAAGACACAGAUAUAUAAGCUUUUAAAAUUCUCAAAAAGGUCACUGAGCAUGGCAAGAAGAUUUUUUACAUACAAGUAUGCAUAUUUUCUGCUUAGAAUUCCAUACAAACGAUAACAUGUAACUGCAAAAAUGCAUGCAUGAAUUUGCAUUAAAAGUUUUAUUCCUUAAAGUUUAUAUUAUAGAUACACUGAGGGGCAUCUCGUGUAGAGUAAGAACAGUCUUGACCCUGUGCAUUGGGUCUAUUCAAAUGGAGAAAGCAGACAGAAGAAUGAAAAUCGUGCUGAUUACACUAUACUGUUUUUCUAAUUGUGGAAUAACUUGAAGAUGUAUAAACUGUCAUGGAAAAUCUGACUCGAACUGGUGUAUUUACAGCUUUAACAUUCUCUGCACAAAAGCAAGAUGUUUCUGUGAUGAAUAACAGUCCAUGUCCUAAAAUGAACGUGACUAUUCUUGAAAAGCACAAUUGCCAGAAAUAUACAAUGAAAAUGUUGAAUUCCUCAACUGAAAUAAUUAUUUUAACUCAUAAAUUUUGAGCAGAUAAUCACACAGAUAAAAAAUUUUUUGUGAUAGGUAUUUGAAGAAUAUAUUUAAAGAAUGAAAUGACCUAGUUUUUAUACUUUAAAACAAAUUGCUGAUAAAGGAAAAACAUUAUUUUCUCUGAAGAUGAUAUAUAGUAGUAAUGAUGUACAGGAAACAGUAAUAAUCCUUUUUAUUGACAUUUUUUUUGGAUAUGAAGAAAGACUCACAUGCCCUUUCACAUAAUUUUAUAUUUCCUCUGCAAUUUUUCAAACUUUUCAGAUCAGAUCCUCCUCUAAUAAAUAUACAAUAUUCCAAAACAAGUAAAUUCUCAAAAAUGCCUAUAGCCCCUUAAAUGAACAGAUUCAAAAGAGAUGCAAUAAAAUUCCUAUUUACAGGAAAUUCACAAUGCUUUCUCAAAACUUCAGUAGUAUUUGAAAAGAUGACUAACAAACUGGAAUAGCUUUAUAUUUCUAGUUAUAAGGCCUUCCAAAUUUCUAACCCACUCACCUGAAUUUAAAGCUUUGCCUUGGCCUUAAAGUCAUAUGAUUUAGAUGACACUCUUGUAAAGCUAAUCUUGUAUGCCUUCACAAACUGGUUUGUGCAUUCACAGUUCAGAAACCAAUGUGUAAUUCAUUGUUCUCUGACUUACAAUGCAAAUGUUAAGAAUUUUCCUGAUUAAAGAAACAUGUUAAGAAAACUUGAGAGUUGGUGUGAAGUCAAAUACCGUAGUACAUUUUAAUGCAAAUGUAAUUUCUUCAAGCAGAGAGUUAGUGUUUCUUUAUAGGUAAGGACUGAAAAAAACAAACAAAAAAAAACCCCAGCAUAUUAACUCUAUUGUUUUUCAAAAAAUAAUUUCUCACCAAUACUAGCCACUACUCCUAGCUGAUGACAAGCAUGUUUGACUUCAAAAGGUAAAUACAUGGAGAAAGGGGAGAUAUUCUAAAUUAUCACAGUAAUUCUGAUAUUAUGUGAUUGAGUACUUAAAAAAAACAUCUUAAAGGUAUUAAAGUGUUUCUUAUUAAAUAUCCCUACUAAGCAUGCAUUUUAUUUGUUAUUCACAAACAAUAAGACUAUGCAGCUUUUCACUUACAUUUUCAUUGUGUAUCUUGAAGACAAUCAUUUCUUUUUUGCCUGAUUACAGACAGUAAUAUCAGGUUCAUGGUUUUCUCAGAUCUAAUUGGUCAUGAUGUUUGUUUGGAGAGCUCCCACUGCACUGAAAUACUUUGUCAUCUGUGAAAAUUUUGAGGAAUAGUCUACUGUCUUUAUGUGAUACCUGCUUUCAUGGCAAAUUUACAGUUAACUAUAAUUCUAUAUAUUUCUGCUUUGGUUUUGGCAUUCUUCUGUACAAGUCAAAAUUAAGAACAAGUGGAAAAUGGAAUAGAGUCAUUAGGGUAAAUAAAAUGUAUUUCUGUUAACAUUAUAGCAACCGUCUUCCUAGCAGAAGAAUUAAAAUAUAAGAAGAUCAAGUUAAGGAAAAAAAUUUGAAAGAGUUUUUCUAUAAAUUUUAGGUUAAAUUCAUUAUUUUUUCAGCAUUUUGUUUCAGCUAGAAAGUUUUUCUCUGAAAUCUGAGUAAUCUAGGAUUUGUGGCUAUAGGAAUUUUAUGUUUGUAGGUUGUGGUUAUUGCAGACUAUUACCAGUAACUGCACAUAGAGAAUGGGACCAAUAUUUCUUCUUCCUCAAUCAGAUACAACAAAUUGGCUUCUGAGUUAAGUCAGCUGGUUCACUUAGAUGUCUCUCAGAAAACGAAGUGUCCUGAAAAGGAGGGAAGUAACUGAAGUCUUGUCAUUUUUCCUUGCUGACUCAAGAAGAUGGCAGAGUGGAGCUGGAAUAUUUCAUGAGAGGAUGCAGGAAAUUACAGAUCUUCUUCAAUGUUAUGCAGGAACUUUGUUUUGUACAGUACCCCAUGAAGGUACCUUCACUUCAUCCUCUCAGAGGCCUACAACAGUGGGACUAUCAAUGCAGGGAAGGAUUUGAGUUUAACUUUUUUUUGUAGUCUUUUAAUUAUCAUUCCCUAUAAGUUCUGGAUUCAGACUAUAAAAUACACAGAGGUACCAACCCUCAACUUCUCUUGUCUUAAUGUCGUUUUUACUAUACCAUGUCAAUUUUUUUUCUGGCACAAUUGGCUUAGAGGAUAGAUCACUGCUUGCUGACUCGCAAGAUAAUAACAUUUAAAACUGUUUGUAUUUAAGACUUAAAAAAGAAGAAAAAGGAAAAAAAAAAAAAAAAAAGCUGUGUUUCAAUUGACUGCAAUUUUGGGAUUUGCCCUUUAUCUUACAACUGCAACACUCAAAAUUUUUGCACAUAUGUUA